GACGUAGGGCGCGAGCGUUGUCCGGAUUUAUUGGGCGUAAAGAGCUCGUAGGCGGCUUGUCGCGUCGUCUGUGAAAUCCCGCGGCUCAACCGCGGGUCUGCAGUCGAUACGGGCAGGCUAGAGUUCGGUAGGGGAGACUGGAAUUCCUGGUGUAGCGGUGAAAUGCGCAGAUAUCAGGAGGAACACCGGUGGCGAAGGCGGAUCUCUGGGCCUUACCUGACGCUGAGGCGCGAAAGCUAGGGGAGCAAACAGG
rnacentral:rRNA from 1 species